UACGGAGGGUGCAAGCGUUAGUCGGAAUUACUGGGCGUAAAGGGAGCGUAGGCUGGGGUGUAAGUUAGAUGUGAAAUACCGUUGCUCAACAACGGCCGUGCAUCUAAAACUGCGUUUCUAGAGGGAUAGCGGAGAAAAUGGAAUUCCAUGUGUAGCGGUGAAAUGCGUAGAUAUAUGGAAGAACACCUGUGGCGAAAGCGAUUUCUAGCUUGACCCUGACGCUGAGGCUCGAAAGCAAGGGGAGCAAACAGG
rnacentral:rRNA from 1 species